UAACUACAGGGAUAGCCUUUCGAAGAAAGAUUAAUACCUGAUAGUACUUUUUCUAAGGCAUCUUGAGAAGUUAAAGAUUUAUUGGUUAUGGAGUGGGAGUGCGUUCCAUUAGAUAGUUGGUGAGGUAACGGCUCACCAAGUCUUCGAUGGAUAGGGGUUCUGAGAGGAAGGUCCCCCACAUUGGUACUGAGACACGGACCAAACUCCUACGGGAGGCAGCAGUGAGGAAUAUUGGUCAAUGGGCGAGAGCCUGAACCAGCCAAGUAGCGUGAAGGAUGAAAGGGUCCUAUGGAUUGUAAACUUCUUUUAUAGUAGAAUAAAGUGAUCCACGUGUGGAUUUUUGUAUGUAUACUAUGAAUAAGGAUCGGCUAACUCCGUGCCAGCAGCAGC
rnacentral:rRNA from 1 species